rnacentral:tRNA from 1 species
GCUCUUCUAAUCCGUAGGUCACAGGUUCGAAUCCUGCCAGG